AUUGAACGCUGGCGGCAUGCUUUACACAUGCAAGUCGAACGGCAGCGCGGGCUUCGGCCUGGCGGCGAGUGGCGAACGGGUGAGUAAUGCAUUGGAACGUGCCCAGUAGUGGGGGAUAGCCCGGCGAAAGCCGGAUUAAUACCGCAUACGACCUGAGGGUGAAAGCGGGGGACCGAAAGGCCUCGCGCUAUUGGAGCGGCCGAUGUCGGAUUAGCUAGUUGGUGGGGUAAAGGCUUACCAAGGCGACGAUCCGUAGCUGGUCUGAGAGGACGACCAGCCACACUGGGAGUGAGACGCGGCCGAGACUCCUGGGGGAGGGAGCAGGGGGGAAUGUGGGAAAAGGGGGGCAACCCUGACCCAGCCAGGCCGCGGGCGGGAAGAGGCCCUGCGGUUUGUAACGGGCUUUUGUGGGGGAAAAAAUCCUCUGGGCUAAUACCCGGGGGGGAGGACGGUACGGAAAAAAAAAGCCCCGGCUAACUACGGG
rnacentral:rRNA from 1 species